rnacentral:rRNA from 1 species
UCUUGUGGAAACACGAGAGUGCCUUCGGGAGCCCGAAGACAGGUGCUGCAUGGCUGUCGUCAGCUCGUGUCGUGAGAUGUUGGGUUAAGUCCCGCAACGAGCGCAACCCUUGUCUUCAGUUACCAGCAUUGAGUUGGGGACUCUGGAGAGACUGCCGGUGACAAACCGGAGGAAGGUGGGGAUGACGUCAAAUCAUCAUGCCCCUUAUGACCUGGGCUACACACGUACUACAAUGGCGUAUACAACGGGAAGCGAAGUGGUGACACGGAGCAAAUCUCACAAAGUACGUCUCAGUUCAGAUUGAAGUCUGCAACUCGACUUCAUGAAGUCGGAAUCGUUAGUAAUCGCGGAUCAGCAUGCCGCGGUGAAUACGUUCUCGGGCCUU